rnacentral:lncRNA from 1 species
GACCACUUCGCCGCUUCUGUUUAUGCUGAAAGACUUCAGGCACUGCUGCUUGAACUCUUCCAUGGCUUGGGCAAUGGCUUGCUUCUGCUCAUCCUUAAGGUUAGCUUCCGUCACGAGGAUGACGUUGUCCUGAUCGAGGUCAGAAAUCGACAUGCUGAUCUUGAUCUUGAAUCGGUCCCACCGGGCGUGCCAAAAGAUGUGUUGAUGCGAAAUUGAUCUGCAAACACAAAGGGCUAAUACCCAAUUCAAACGUUAAGGCGUGCCAGCCGAUUUGACCCUACUAUCGGCAAAGGUGAUAACUCGAAUACUUUAGUCCUGACAACAGCGAUGCGCCCGGAUGUCACGGCUAAGAGGUACUCACGCGGAACUCGAGAAUACGCCGAGCUUAAGUCGACGAAUUCCUAAGAACUCGUAAUAAGAAAGAAAAAGGGUGACGAAGUCGUCGAAAAGUAAACGCUGGAAUAUGAGUAAAACGUAUGUUUGAUUGAUUUCUUGAUAGAUGAUCUGAUUACAAGGUCUUAGGGCUUAUAUUUAUACCCUGCCCAAAGAGCUACGACCAGACACGAUUAGAAUUCGAAUUCUAAAUUACACGGAACCCGUAUACAAAACGAUACGAAUAACAUAAGGAAACAAUAAAACCAUCCUUCGUGACAAACCGGAACUCCUCCACAUGACAACUGGCAGCUUCCGGACUCUUCCUUUGCGUCAUCGGCAAUUCCCUUGCCAUAGUCAUCGGCAGACCCUUUUACUUGGUCAUCGGCAUCAUAUUACUGUUUGAGGACUUAGUCAUACUCAACCUUUCCCUCAUCGGCAACCAUCCUUACCAGCAACCCGCAUCGUACUGCCACCCUGUCCUGCCAUCCUGG